GGAUUGGCCAAAAAGAUUGGAGGUUGCCAUUGGAGCUGCUCAAGGACUUUGUUAUAUGCACCAUGACUGCACUCCACCGAUCAUUCAUCGCGAUGUAAAAUCAAGCAAUAUCUUGUUGGAUUCUGAUUUCACAGCCAAAAUAGCUGAUUUUGGGUUAGCCAAGAUUUUAGAGAAGAAAGGAGAGCUUAACACCAUGUCUGCUGUUGCGGGUUCCUUUGGUUACAUAGCACCAGAGUAUGCUUAUACAACGAAAGUGAAUGA
rnacentral:misc_RNA from 1 species